CCGAGUUCGCGUCCGCCCCGCCUGGCCCGGCCCGGCCCCCGGGAGCGCGGCCAGGUGCUCCGCAAGCCGCUCCACCGCCCGCUAACUCCGCCGCCACAGAGGCGGGGUUUCCAACCCCAACACUGACGCGCUUUCGGCGGCUCUCCACACUCUGGGCCUGACGAACGGGAGAAUCGACCAAUGGGAGCGGACAGGAGCCAAUGAAAACAUCGCCCGCGAGCAAGGGGAUGGGACACCGGAAAGGACAGCAGGAUUAACCAAUGGACUGAAGGUGGAGAACCACGGAGGCCAACCCACCCUGGACUGGAAACUCACACCCUGGGAGCUGAAAUAACAUGCUUUUAAAUAACUAACUCGUGUUAGAUACAGUUAGCAGAAAGCUGGCUGACACACAGGCUUCAACAAUAUUCUAGUCUAACCGGAGAAUUGUAGCUGUUAGCCUCCAAAACAUGAGCUGCCAGACACCAACAAAGCACAUUCUCAGCUCCACUGGGUGUAAAUCGGGGCGCCAUCCUCAAAGCGUGAUCGCUGCAGCAGCCACGUGAAUAGCGCUUGGAACCUGUUAGAAUCACAAAUUCUUGCCGGGCAUGGUAGCGUUCGCCUCAUCCCAGCACUGGGGAGGCUGAGGCAGGAAGCUCUCCGGGAGUUCGAGGCCAGCCUGGGCUCCCAUGUGGCUUCUCCUGAGGCGGACAAUUCAGAGCCUACCACAAGCCAGAGAGACGAAAAAGAGGCCCUGGCCUUUAAGAAAAAGCCAAGAUUUUUGGCAGAGCCGAGGGAAGGCGCCUCUGAAAGAAGUUUGCCCGAAAGAUGCUUGGAAAAGCAAGGAGGAAGGGGCGGAACCCGGGCACACCUCAGGGGUAUGGACAGAACUGGGGUUCAGAUGGAGGCCGGCGGGAAAGCCGGCAGCUCUGCCCUGCACCCUGGCAUUCAUCAUCGGGGCUGGAGUGGCGACGCUGGGAGCCCAGAGGCCCGCAGAUCCGGGCCGCACCGACCUCACGCCAGACCCGGCCUCACUCGAGCGGCUCCUGCGCAGGCGCGGCUGAGGAAUCUGAGAAGUGAGCUCCUUGACAGGACUCUGAUAUCUCUGUCUCCGGGGAACGUGGCAUCAUCGGCUCUUGCGAUCUGACUGCGGAGAGCAGUUCUGUUGACAAAUGCUUCAGCUGGACUUGCUGGUGCACAUCCGUAAUCCCAGCACUUGGGAGGCUGAGGCAGGAGGAUCGCUGAGAGAUCAAGGCCAGUCUGGACUAUGCAGUGAGUUCAGGACCAGCCUGAAUUACAUAGCAAGACCCUGUCUCAAAGAUUUUUUAAAAAAACAGCAACAGGAAAAUGUUUGGAAUUUAGAAGUGAGGGACCUAAAAGAAAAACAGGCCUGGGGUGAAAAAGGCAUUGUAACCUUGGUAACUUGACUAUGUUUUAGAGCUGUAGUGUUACUUAAUUGUUUAUUUUUGUGGUACUGGGGAUUAAACAUAGGGCUGGUGCACUGAGCUACAUCCCAGCCCUUUUUAAAAUUUUGAGAUGAGGUCUAAGUCACUAAAUUGCCCAA